rnacentral:rRNA from 1 species
CCCAGACUCCUACGGGAGGCAGCAGUGAGGAAUAUUGGUCAAUGGUCGGGAGACUGAACCAGCCAAGCCGCGUGAGGGAUGAAGGUACAGAGUAUCGUAAACCUCUUUUGUCAGGGAACAAAGGCGGGGACGUGUCCCCGGAUGAGUGUACCUGAAGAAAAAGCAUCGGCUAACUCCGUGCCAGCAGCCGCGGUAAUACGGAGGAUGCGAGCGUUAUCCGGAUUUAUUGGGUUUAAAGGGUGCGCAGGCGGGCUGUUAAGCCGGCGGUAAAAAUUCAGGGCUCAACCCUGUCGAGCCGUCGGAACUGGCAGUCUUGAGUGGGCGAGAAGUAUGCGGAAUGCGUGGUGUAGCGGUGAAAUGCAUAGAUAUCACGCAGAACGCCGAUUGCGAAGGCAGCAUACCGGCGCCCAACUGACGCUGAGGCACGAAAGCGUGGGGAUCGAACAGGAUUAGAUACCCCAGUA